rnacentral:tRNA from 1 species
GUGCGCUUAGCUCAGCUGGAUAGAGCGUCUGACUACGGAUCAGAAGGCCGGGAGUUCGAAUCUUCUAGCGCACG